rnacentral:rRNA from 1 species
UGCCGCGUGCAGGAUGACGGCCCUAUGGGUUGUAAACUGCUUUUAUACGGGAAGAAACGCACCUACGUGUAGGUGUCUGACGGUACCGUAAGAAUAAGGACCGGCUAACUCCGUGCCAGCAGCCGCGGUAAUACGGAGGGUCCGAGCGUUAUCCGGAAUCAUUGGGUUUAAAGGGUCCGUAGGCGGGCCUGUAAGUCAGGGGUGAAAGUUUGUGGCUCAACCAUAAAAUUGCCUUUGAUACUGCAGGUCUUGAGUCAUGGUGGGGUUGCCGGAACAUGUGGUGUAGCGGUGAAAUGCAUAGAUAUCACAUAGAACACCGAUCGCGAAGGCAGGUGACCAACCAUGUACUGACGCUGAUGGACGAAAGCGUGGGUAGCGAACGGGAUUAGAUACCCCGGUAGUCCACGCCGUAAACGAUGGAUACUAGCUGUGGGGACUUCGGUCUCCGUGGCCAAGCGAAAGUGAUAAGUAUCCCACCUGGGGAGUACGUUCGCAAGAAUGAAACUCAAAGGAAUUGACGGGGGCCCGCACAAGCGGUGGAGCAUGUGGUUUAAUUCGAUGAUACGCGAGGAACCUUACCAGGGCUUAAAUGCAGGCUGCAUGGGGUGGAGACACCCCUUUCUUCGGACCGCCUGCAAGGUGCUGCAUGGUUGUCGUCAGCUCGUGCCGUGAGGUGUCAGGUUAAGUCCUAUAACGAGCGCAACCCCUACCGUUAGUUGCCAGCAUGUAAAGAUGGGGACUCU